GAUCCUGGUUCAGGACGAACGCUGGCGGCGUGCCUAACACAUGCAAGUCGAACGGAAGCAAAGAUUUCGGUUUUUGCUUUAGUGGCGAACGGGUGAGUAACGCGUGAGGAACCUGCCUUUCAGUGGGGGGACAACAGUUGGAAACGACUGCUAAUACCGCAUAAUGCUUUUGGAUCGCAUGAUUUAAAAGCCAAAGAUUUAUUGCUGAAAGAUGGCCUCGCGUCUGAUUAGCUGGUUGGUGGGGUAACGGCU
rnacentral:rRNA from 1 species